rnacentral:rRNA from 1 species
GGCUAACGCUGGCGGCGUGUCUUAGCCAUGCAAGUCGAGCGGACUUAUGGGGUAACUUAUAAGUCAGCGGCGGACGGCGGAGUAACACGUAGCUAACCUACCCUCUGGACGGGGAUAACCUACCGAAAGGUGGGCUAAUACCCGAUGUAGUCAUCCUGUAUAGGGGUGAUGAAAGGUGGGCUUCUGUUUACAAGCUCAUGCUGGAGGAGGGGGCUGCGGCCUAUCAGGUAGUUGGUAGGGUAAUAGCCUACCAAGCCGAUGACGGGUAGCCGGCCUGAGAGGGUGACCGGCCCGAGGGGCACUGAGAUACGGGUCCCACUCCUACGGGAGGCAGCAGGCUAGAAAUUUGGGCAAUGGGGGAAACCCUGACCCAGUGACGCCGCGUGCAGGAAGGAGCCCUUCGGGGUGUAAACUGCUGUCGUGUAGGGAGAAGGGUACUAAGGUGAACAAUCUUAGUACUUGACGGUACUACAGGAGGAAGCCCAGGCUAACCUCGUGCCAGCAGCCGCGGUAAAAUGGCGUACU